rnacentral:miRNA from 1 species
GAGUAUUGUUUCUGCUGCCAGG